AGCUGAUCAGCAUGCCGCGUGAGUGAUGAAGGCCUUCGGGUUGUAAAGCUCUUUUGUCAGAGACGAUUAUGACGGGGCUAACAUCCUAGGCCAUGGCUGUCUCCCCGUCACCAGCCCCGGUUAUAUCAGUGGCGCUAGCCUUGGUCAGACAUACUGUGCGUACAGUGUUCGUAAUUACUGGGCCUAAACCGUGGGGAAGCCGCCAUGCUCAUCCGAUGUGAAACCCCCGAGCCUAACCCCCUAAAUUCCUUCAAUACUGGGUGGAUUUCCUAUCGUAGAGGUUGGAUGAAUUCACAUUGUAAAGAUCAAAUUCGGAGAAAUCGACAAGAACACCCGUUGCUAACGCUGACCCCCGGACGCAUGCUGACCCUAAAAGAUUAAAUCCCCUGGAACUCAACGGCUUAAACAACCUGGGCGUCCCCUCCGUAAACUAUCGGUGCUAGGUGUCACGUGAAUUGACUCCCAUGCCGCCUUAGCCAACCCGUUACGCAACCCACCUGGGAAGUACUUCCCCAGGGCUAAAA
rnacentral:rRNA from 1 species